ACGCUGGCGGCGUGCUUAACACAUGCAAGUCGAACGGGGUGCGGGGGCUUCGGCCCCGCACCUAGUGGCGGACGGGUGAGUAACGCGUGGGUAACCUGCCCCGUACCGGGGGGACAACAGCUGGAAACGGCUGCUAAUACCGCAUAAGCGCCGCCUGCCGCAUGGCGGGCGGCGGAAAGAUUCAUCGGUACGGGAUGGGCCCGCGUCUGAUUAGCCAGUUGGCAGGGUAACGGCCUACCAAAGCGACGAUCAGUAGCCGAUCUGAGAGGAUGACCGGCCACAUUGGGACUGAGACACGGCCCAAACUCCUACGGGAGGCAGCAGUGGGGAAUAUUGCACAAUGGGGGGAACCCUGAUGCAGCGACGCCGCGUGGGUGAUGAAGUAUUUCGGUAUGUAAAGCCCUAUCAGCAGGGAAGAAGACGACGGUACCUGACUAAGAAGCACCGGCUAAAUACGUGCCAGCCGCGGC
rnacentral:rRNA from 1 species